GACGAACGCUGGCGGCGUGCUUAACACAUGCAAGUCGAACGGAAAGGCCCUGCUUGCAGGGUACUCGAGUGGCGAACGGGUGAGUAACACGUGGGUGAUCUGCCCUGCACUUCGGGAUAAGCUUGGGAAACUGGGUCUAAUACCGGAUAGGAGCCAUCUUUAGUGUGGUGGUUGGAAAGUUUUUUCGGUGUAGGAUGAGCUCGCGGCCUAUCAGCUUGUUGGUGGGGUAAUGGCCUACCAAGGCGGCGACGGGUAGCCGGCCUGAGAGGGUGUACGGCCACAUUGGGACUGAGAUACGGCCCAGACUCCUACGGGAGGCAGCAGUGGGGAAUAUUGCACAAUGGGCCCAAGCCUGAUGCAGCGACGCCGCGUGGGGGAUGAAGGCCUUCGGGUUGUAAACUCCUUUCGCUAGGGACGAAGCUUUUUGUGACGGUACCUAGAUAAGAAGCACCGGCUAACUACGUG
rnacentral:rRNA from 1 species